ACUUCUAAAAUACUAAGUAUAUUUAAUUUCCAAUUAAAAAGAAUAAGAAGUA
rnacentral:tRNA from 1 species